rnacentral:rRNA from 1 species
CUGGCGGCGUGCUUAACACAUGCAAGUCGAACGCGAAAGGGGACUUCGGUCCUGAGUAAAGUGGCGGCACGGGUGAGUAACGCGUAGAUAACCUGUCUUCAUGUCUGGAAUAAUACGCCGAAAGGGGUACUAAUACCGGAUAUUCUUGCUUUUCAUAAGUUAUGCAAGCAAAGGUGGCCUCUGCAUAUGCUACUGCAUGAAGAGGGGUCUGCGUACCAUUAGCUAGUAGGUGGGGUAAUGGCCUACCUAGGCGACGAUGGUUAGCGGGUCUGAGAGGAUGAUCCGCCACACUGGCACUGGAACACGGGCCAGACUCCUACGGGAGGCAGCAGUGAGGAAUAUUGCGCAAUGGGGGAAACCCUGACGCAGCGACGCCGCGUGAAGUGAGGAAGGCCUUCGGGUCGUAAAGCUCUGUCAAGAGGAAAGAAGUGUACAAUGGCUAAUACCUGUUGUAUUUGACGGUACCUCUAAAGGAAGCACCGGCUAACUCCGUGCCAGCCGCGGC